UCAAAGUCAGAGACCCAAACUUUGCCAAACUGGGUUGACCUGAAGUCAGAGUGUAAUUUAAACUUUUUAUUGAGAUCAUUACUUACUUCAUAAAGCAAUUUGCUUUAUUUGGGACUUCACCAUCAUUUGUUCUUUCACAGGUUGUAGAUGCUGAGGGUGAGUGUCUGAGGAACAACUUUCUUUCGUUUUUCGUUUCGAUGUGAUUUGGAGCACAUUUGCACAUUUUUGCAUUUGGAGCAUUUUGGCACAUGCAUACGUGUCUGUUGCUGGCAUUUUUCAUUAGCACUGAGGUGAGUAAGCUUAAUAAGUAGCUUUACUUGAUCCUUAUUCCUAGCUUUCAACACAUACCCGUCAUUUUUUAGUUCUAGAAAACCUCCUUCCUUUUUUCCAGUAGUAUGUUUCCGUCACCAGUAUUUUAAAUAGGCAACGACUGUGUAGAUCCUCUUGGUCUAAAUGUUCCGGAAAAAGUAUAACAGGGAAAACCGCGGCCAAUUUCAGAACACCACUUCCGAAAAAACUGAUCAUUUGCCUGAUCAUAUUUUGGUUUUGAGAUAGAGAAAACACAUCUUAUACCCACGAAAGCAGAGGAUAAACUGAAUAGAAAUAUUGACCGAUAUGGCGUUUUCUAAUGGUUUAUUCGGAUUUGGCAGAAAAACCAGUUUCUGUUUCUUCCAAAUGUCAGGAAAUGCUUUUACUGCCACCAACCUCCAUAUCUGACGAAAUUUAUUCGAAUAGCUAUUCGGGAGUUCUCAAACUGUGACCAUUCAAAAUAUUGUUAACAUAUUCUUAAACGGUCGCCGUGAAAAAAGAAAUCAGAGUUAACGGUACACGCCUUAAUAUGUUUUGUUUUUGUUUUUUUACACAGCUCCGUUUCCCGUUUUUCCUAAAACCUAUGUCUACGCUCUUAAAGUUCUACUGUAUGUAGUGUAGAAUCAUACAAACUUCCAAACCUUAAAAUAUUUUAGGCCAUCUCCGGCAAUCUGUUUGAUUGAUAACUACUCUCGUGCGUCGUCAGAUUGGAAAAUGCUCAGCGACCAAACACUUUCUAAGGGGUAAUUCCUAUAUAUCGUCACUGAACAUGGUCAGCUAUUGCAAUUAACACAUCUAUCGAAUGGAAAUGUUAAGGUAAUUUAAUGUCGCUGCAUAAAUUGAAAAUAAAACAUGUCAACAAUUUCUCGCUAUAAAAGUACAAGUAAAUACAUCCGAGGAAAAUAAUCUCAACAGAACUUCUAAGGGGACAACAUUCAUCAGUUUUAAUUAGAAUUCCAUACAAUGUUCUCAGCCAGGCUAUUACUUCUAGUUGCGGUAGUCUGUUUGACUACCGUCUUCUUUACCAACGGCGAUGAAAACGUACCUCAAUCAACGAAUUUUAUCGCAGCGGACAACCUUUUGAUGCCAGAAAGCGGACAUCAAGGAUCGGAACCUCUUCGGGUUAAACGUCAAAGCUGUGAAAAUGCGAGGUGUGCGAAUGCAUGUGCCACGAGGGGUCUGCUCGGACAAUGUGUGAGUGGUCGAUGUCGAUGCUUUUGAAAAACAAGACAAUUAAACAAUUUUAUUUUUUAAAUUAAAAUUUACCUAAAACAUUUGAGACAGUGCAGUGAAGUAAAUGAAAUUUAAGAAAAUAAAUAAGUCCGCAACCAAUAUCAAA